AUUUGGAUUUGGCUUGCUUGAUGCUGGACGAUUAAUGAAGGAAGCCCUAACUGGACAAAUGUUGGUCUCCUGAGACAAUGUGUUGUUGAUAACAGAAAAGGAUUGACAAUAAGAUGUGGAUGUUCAUCUUUAAUGAACUCUAGUCACCAAGUGAAAGCCAGCUAAGUUUGAUGAUGCAAUUGACCACCUUCUCAGCAACGGCUGAAUAUUUGCUCCUCAAAAUGAGCAAGCCUGUUAACUGCAAAUGUGAAGAGAUGAAGCAAGCAAAAAAGAAAAAGUGUGAAGAA